GGAUUUAUCCGUUGGUCGGGCUUUUGGGUCUGUACUGGCGUGAUGGAUUUCUACCUUCUGAAUAACCGGCAUGUCGUUAAUUUGGUGCGCCGGGGAAGCAGGACUGUUACCUUGAAAAAAUUAGAGUGUUUAAAGCAGGCUCACGCUUGAAUACAUUAGCAUGGAAUAAUGAAAUAGGACGUUUGAUUCUAUUUUGUUGGUUUCUAGGAUCGACGCA
rnacentral:rRNA from 1 species